GCCGACACUACACGUGCGCAUGCGCACUGGGAUGGUUGCCGGUUGGUUGCUGUAGUUACAACUCAGGGGAGAGAGAAGCGCUACACCUGCGCUGCUGCUCCUGAGAACUUUAGCUCCGUUUAAUCUUUGUAGUUUUCGCACCAGAAGUCUGCAGAUUGGAGAUGCAUGCUGCCAUAAUCCCAUUUAGCUGACAUACUGCAGAUCUUCUCUGUCUCUGUGGUGGAAAUGCCAGCUGUGAACCAGGACAAAGAGGAUUCUGAGUCUCAGUCAGAAGACGAGCUAGAGUGCCAUCCCUGUAUAGCCUGGAGCGGGAUCAGCAGGAAGAUCCCAGUUCUGCUCUUCCAUGCUGAAGCUGUUGUGUCCAAAGAUGAAACUAUUUGUUCCAUUGGAGAAAGAUACAACUUGGCCUUCAAGAUUGUACGUACAGAGAGUCGACUUGUGCGAGGCAUGCUUAUAAAUCAUGGAUUCCAUGAGGUCCAUCCAAAUAGUAAUGAUUUCAACCUCAUGUGGACAGGCUCCCACCUUAAGACCUAUCUGCUCCGCAGUUUGCAGGAUUUCCAGAAAGUCAACCAUUUCCCCAGGUCAAAUGAGCUGACACGGAAAGACCGGCUGUACAAAAACAUUCAGCGGAUGCAGCAGGCUCACGGAUUUCAAAACUUCCACAUUGUACCUCAGACCUUCGUUCUUCCUGCUGAAUAUCAGGAAUUUUGCAAUGCCUUCUCUAAGGACAAGGGUUCAUGGAUUAUCAAACCUGUUGCAUCUUCCAGAGGCAGAGGCAUCUACCUGGUCAGCAGUCCAAGUCAGAUCUCAUUGGAUGAAAACAUCCUGGUGUCGCGGUACAUUAGCAACCCAUUAUUGAUAGAUGAUUUUAAGUUCGAUGUGCGAUUAUAUGUAUUGGUGACGUCUUAUGACCCGGUCAUUAUCUAUGUCUAUGAAGAGGGGCUAACUAGAUUUGCUACCGUGAAGUAUGACCAUGCUGUGAAGAACAUCAAGAACCAGUUCAUGCACCUCACCAACUACAGUGUAAACAAGAAGAGCAGUGACUAUGUCAGCUGUGAUGACCCUGAAGUAGAGGAUUAUGGGAACAAAUGGAGCAUGAGUGCAAUGCUGAGGUAUUUAAAACAGGAGGGAAAGGACACCACAUUGCUGAUGGGUCAGAUAGAGGACCUGAUCAUUAAAGCUGUGCUGAGUGCAGAGUUACAGAUUGCUACUGCCUGCAAGAUGUUUGUCCCUCAUCGCAACAACUGCUUUGAAUUGUAUGGUUUUGAUGUUCUCAUUGAUUCCAACCUCAAGCCAUGGCUCCUGGAAGUGAACCUCUCUCCAUCAUUGGCAUGUGAUACUCCUCUUGACCUGAAAAUAAAGGCCAGCAUGAUCUCAGAUAUGUUUUCUCUUGUAGGAUUUGUAUGCCAGGACCCCCUUCUAAAACAGACGCGGUCAGAUAAGGCUGGAUUGGACCCAGCUGGGAAGAACCACAAAACUCAACAUCAUUUCUUCGCACAGGCUGUCUCUGCCAAAUCCAGAGUGUGUCAGAGACCUCACUCUGCCAAUAAUAUUGAGGAGCUGAAAGAGAAACAGGGAGGCAGGCAUGUGGACACACUGAGCUUGACUGCAGAGGAGUUAAAAGUCCUGAGGAGGACACAGGAGGAGCACGAGAGGAGAGGUGGAUUCAUCCGUAUUUUCCCCACACCACAAACUUGGGAGCUCUACAGUGGUUAUCUGGAAUACAAGACAUCCAUGAACUCCAUGCUGGCUAAUAAACUUUUCCAUGGAAGGUCAGGAAAAUCCUCUGUGAUCACACAAUUCAGGAAUAGAUUGAAGGGUAAUGUGCCCUUAGAAGAGGAGGCCCAUAAAACCUGUCAUGUAGUUCAGUAUGAGUGCAAAUUGCUCUCUCUCGAGGCACGAAGACACAGGAAAAGGCAAACGACUAGCCGUGCCACUCCCCGGAGAAGGAAAACUGGUCGAAGGCCUUUACCAUCAUUAGCGCACAGCAGUGAAAAUGAGGAAGCUGAGGAGGGAGAAGAGCGAGGACCACAGGGAAAGCAGGAGCAAACAAUGUCUCAACCUCAGCCCACCCUGUUGGCGUGGCACCGAACUAAAGUCAGCAAACCCCCCAAAAAAGUGGAUCUGCUCCAUAUUCUCCAGCAGGGGUGGGAUCUCAGUAAGGUUCAGGCACGCAUGGCCUUCUCCUUCUAUCUCCAGCGGGUCCAGAUGAGGCUGCUUGUAGAGAGCAGGACCAACACUACCCCUGCCUGGGCACAAAAGGACAGUGACCAGAUGGAGCUGGUAAUGCGUUUUCUGAUGCGAGCUGCCAGUAACCUGCAGCAGGACAUGCAGGUGGUGUUACCCAGCCGCCAGCUUUCCCUGCCUGACCGCCGUCGCAUACUGGCCCAUCAGCUCGGAGAGUUCAUCCACUGUUAUAACCAGGAGACAGAACAACUGGUAAAAUGUUUGGAAAAGCCUGAAGAUGAAGACCGGUGCAUCAAUUCAAAUGUGUUUCGGGAGUUUAUUUUGGAAGCAAGUGAAAGUGAUCUAGAAGAUGUCCUCACUUUCUACACACACAAGAAUAAGUCUGCCAGCGUGUUUCUGGGGAGUUCCAGAAGAGACCAUUAUGAAGAAUGCGGUAAGGGCUCAGGAGCGCUAACAAAGCAUCACAGCAGGCGAACUCCGGUAAAAGCCAAAGAAGGCUCUAGUGCUUCAGGAUUGUCGCUGACUGCCAAGGCCGACUCACCAAAAAACAAAGAAAUCCAAGAGAGUGUAACCAGACCAGGAUGCAACAAAAGCAGUAUAACUGUGAACACGAACAGCCAUAGUAACACUAUCCAAAAUAGUGACAAAUAUAGAACAUUAAAUUAUGGUGGACACAGAAACAACAAAAUUCUAAAUGGAAAUACAGUGACAGAAGGUCAGCCUGAGGCCUCAACUGCCUUUGAGCCUCAAACUAAUGAAAGCAAAACAAGAGGUUUACAAGAUGGAGAAAUUUGGAGUAAAAGAUCCCACAUUACAAUUGUCGGAAAUGACGAACUGUCAAAAAUGGUUAAAGAGGUCAUCGAGCAGCCUGCAAAAAGUUGUAAAUUGCAAGUCAAGACCCAGGGUUCUCAGCACACGUCAUCAUAUCGUGCAGCCCUAGACUGUGAGCAUAUCCACCUGCAGCAAUGUUUCCCACGAUCUGAACCUGAAGCUCAGCCCCAGGCUCAACCUCCUCCUUAUAUCCAUCCUCCCCCACACCUGCAUGCUGAAUCUCAAAGCAAACCACAAACUACUUUAUCUUCUUCAUCCACAAAUUCUCUGCGGCCUACACGAGUAACGUUGCCUUCAUCAAAUUCAUAUUCACCUGGAUCAUUUACAACUACUGAAGUGCUACAACAAACCCCGGGUUCACAAAUGGCACAGCUGGUCACUAGUGGUGUUUCAUCUUCUAGUGCCUGCACUACAAACAUGUACAGUCAGAAAGUCUUGUGGCCCGCUUCUGCACCGCGAGUGAGUAAUAAGGCCAGUAAGUCCAGACCUGCCUCUGCAGGAGUGGUUAAGGAGCCAGAUUCACUCUCAGCACAGGCCCAGUCAAAUCAGCAGGCUAUUGUGGCUGCCCUGAAGAAACUAGUGGAGAAACAAGCAGCUCGCCAGUACAGCACCUCCAGCCACAUUAGUCUCCUUACACAACAUCUGACCAACCUGAACCUAGCUAAAGGAGUUUUCCGCAGAGGAGUGCAGAGUGUCACGUCAGGAGCUCGGCCCGACACAGCGACAGCUCAACACUCAGGCAUGAACCUCUCUGGUGCUGUGAGUCACAGGAAGGACGACGAUGACAGAAAGAUCCAGAGUGCCUGUAAUUUGGCUACUGGAGCAACUUUGCAGACCUCAUCAGGCAGCUCUCAGCUCCAGUUUGCCAUCCAGCAGCUCCAGCAGCAGAAACUGCAGUCCAGGAAGCUACUGGACCAGAGCCGUUCUCGACAUCAAGUCAUGCUGGAUGGACACACACUUGUGCCUGGUGCUGUACCACGAAACCCUGUUCCCGCCAGCUGUAGUGUUCGGGUCAACUCACAGUCCCAGACCAGCAUGAAGCAGACAGCAAGUAGGAGAGAUUCAUGCCAUCCUGAACCCCUGCUCUCUACACUGGGUGCCGCCGCUCUGAUUCCCAAACCCCCAAGCAGUACUCCCAAAGACACACUCUCACGCAAGACUGCCACUCAAAGGACCAACCAGCAAGCACCAUAUGAGACUCCAUCCGGAAACGGCUUAUCUAGUCAUCAAAAUGUUGUUAAUGACACCAUGUGUGGAAAAACAGGUCUGUCUAUGUACAGCAAAUUAUUCCACACGUAUAGGUCCAGACCUUGAUGAUGGAGCGAUGGCUGGUUCACUGAUUACUCGCUGGUGUUGGAUCUCUUCACAGGAACAAUUUUUAUCAUUCAGACUGAAGUGUCACUAUGGUUUACCAUGAUGGAAUAGAAAAGUCUGUUCAAUUAAUAGUUUGGCUAAAAUACCCACAAUUCUUCCCUUCUUCCCCGAAUGCAGUGAAUCAUUUGAGGUGUAUAGUGUAAGAAAUUAGCUUUUUCAGUUUUUCCACUGGAGCUACAAGUCUAAUGUGGAUAAUAAGCAAGGGAAGCUUAUAGCUGCAAGCCUCCAUCGCAUAAUUGCCCCAAACCAGUUGUUAUAUAAUCCCAAAUAGACUUGCUGCUGUGGUUUCUGACAGUGUGACACAAUGUUAGCAGUUAGAAUGUGCUGCAUAUCUAAAAACAGUAGUAACAGCCACCUUAAAUCAGGUAUCACCUUCUUUAUCAUUCUUGAUGAAGAAGGCGACAUAUGUAGGUGGGUGUAGUUUAAAGUUUAAAGACGAAAUUGUACAUACAAAGUGAUUCGGAUGACAAUUUGGUCAUUUGUAUAUUUAAUUUCUUUUAAUAAGAACUUGCUCUGCAAUUUUAUGAAAAUGUUUAUGUACACAUGGUAUUAUUGAGCCAAACCAUGUCUUUUGAAGCAAGUGAUGUAUACAUUCCAUUUGCAUGCCAUCUUACACUGGUACCCUAAAACUGUCCGUAUUUCUCAGCAACAUGAGCCUUAUAGCUCUAAUACAAAACUGAAGAAAACUAAACAUGGGGGAAAUUUUGUGUAAAAUGAAUUUUUGGCUGAACUAUUCCUUUAAACAAAGUGACAUUUAUAUCCACUCCUCUUUGCUCUUUGCUAGCAUACCAUAAACAUUUUUAUAUUCUCUUCUAGCUAAUCUUGUUUUACUGUUAUCUUGCUUUAUGUCCCGGCCCCCGCACUAGACAAGAAUCAUAUCUUUCCUUGGGGUGGAGGAACAGCUGACAAAUGCUGCUACCCCUGAGACCGUGUCUGACAUAAAACCGACCUUAUUUAUUUUUUUUGGAGAGCAUGUGGCUGUGAGGAUAGCAUGCUGUGUAAGAAAUCCCUGGCUUUGACACGAGCGCAGAUCUGUUCCAUGGCCCAAGAUUUUCCGGUGGCCUUCAGUUCCUCCCCGUCCUAUUGCUGCAGUUGUCCAGCCCCAUUCUCACCCUGCAACUGCUGCCAUCAAAAGACUAUGUGAAUAGACAGGCAACAACAGCUGCUAACUCCACUCAGCCUCUCGGCCUGAUCGCUGGAACAGACCAGAAGAGUAAGCUUCCUAACACACACUUUCAGACUUAGAUCUUCAGUAGAGUUCAACAUUCAUUUUCAGACUUAGAUGGCCUGUGACUUAAAAGAUAUUUGCACUUGAAAAGUAUAUUUAAAAGAUAUUUGCAUAUUUGCGCUCGAAAAAGUGACACUGAAAGAAUCUUAUUAGGUAUAAUAUGUGCAUUAUGUAAGGAAUAAUCCCCAAGAAGUUUGGUAUGAUAGCUCCACAAUCUGUUUUAUUCCUCCUAUACCACAGCGAUUUGCUAUUGAUAACAUUUUUUAUUUGUUAAUAAACAAGAUGUUAUGCUUUUUAACUCUUUUUUCAGUUACAUUUUAUGUUAUGGAAUUUCUGCAAGGCAGGUUACUUCCUUAUGUUCUAGCAGCUAUAAACAAUCGUUCCCUCAACAGCCGCUCUUAUUUUCUCUCUCUUAAAGUUGAUAAAACAAAAAGCACAGUUUGUCAAGAAACCACAAAGCAGACAAUCCUCUAUCAUGAAGCCUUUGCUGUGAUGGAGCCCUUACUGAGCUUCACAAAGCCGUGGAACUGGAGACUUCCUCCAGAAAUGUUAAAUAAACAUCUCCUAACAGGAAGCUUCACAAUAUCAAUGAUGAUACUUUUUCUCUUUUUUCUGUCAAAUGAAUGUCCUCCAUACAAGUCCCUGUGAAUAAGCUGAAAUGAUAAUGUAUUAGAAUGAGUGCAUUAACAUAAACGCUUUCAGAUUCAAGAAUUCAACAGUGCUGUGGUAUAAUGCUGAUUAUAAAGAGCAUUAAGGCUGAUUAUAAAGAUCAUUGAUGCUGAUUAUAAAUUAUUGCCAAAGGACAAUUGCUUUUGGUGAUCAGCACACAUACCGUCACGUAUCAAUAAGCACCGUGUCCGUCAGGACCAUAAUACUCUCCUCAAGUGCCUCAUUACGGUGCCACAUACUGCUUGUGUAUUGAGUUUUAUUACCUUGUGUGCUGUAUUUUAUGAUCAGUUCCAAAUGUACUGCACUCAUGCUAGCAGACUGAAACAACUGAAUCUCUAGGACAUAAUGGCUCCAUUGUAUCAGUGAUUGGUGUACUUCAUUAACAGACCCUGAAAAUAAGUCCGGUUGAUAAAUCGAUGGACUCUUCUUAAUGUCUUUCCAUAGAAAGCAGUUUUUCCCUUCUACAGUGUACACCAGUGUUAUCUAUUUACAGCUCCAUAGGGCAGCAUGUCUUGUUUCAUGAAGAGUUAAUAGUUUAAUAUCUUAAAAGGCUGGGCAGUCUGCAUGACUAAUUGGUGGGUUUUGUUGAUGUUUUACAAAACUUCAACAUAUUUUUGACACACGUUAAUUAGAAGAAAUGGUGUUUCUGCUUUUAGCUGCAGGUCAUUAGUUAUUCUCAGUCAUAAAGUCUGGCCAGCAAUGUACUGUAUAUUAUUGAUGUAUGCAAAAUAAAGCCUGCUGUCCCCCAUUGAGGAUAUUGUACUGUAACAUUUAUCAACUCAGGGUUUGGCCAUUUAAAGAACAUUUAUUUUUAGCUUUUACAAUGGUAUUGUUUUAUUGUUUGAUAUUGUAAUUUGUCUUGUGUGUGUUAUUGUAAAUCCAAAAUGUUGCUUUAUGAAUUAUUUCAGUGUGAAACCAAAUACUGAAAGUGUAUGACCAGAAUGUUGUAUGAAUACUGCGUGAACACUUUUUUUUUUGAGUCAUUGAUAUUUGUAUAUAGUACAGAAUAGGAAAAGAACAACAUUUUUUUUUUUGCAGAUAGUAUGACGUGAAAUGCGUUUGAUUUCUUCUCCAUUGAUUUUUACUAGAAUGUAGAAGAGAGCUGCUUAUUCUGUGGCACAGCUAAAAGAAUAUAAGAUGCCUGCAGUAAGGGGAAAAAGCAGGCCAACCUUUCCAACCAGUAAAAGACUUCAAUCCAAAGAUGCCUGAAGAUGAAUGACUAUAGUCAUGGUUUUCUUAUCAGAUUCCUGAUGCUAGAGAGUUAUGCUUUGUUGUUGGGUUCCAUGUUGUGCAUCAUUACCUGGUAGUGUUAUCCCAGACGAAAUACUAAGCUAAUACAGAGAUUUCUAUAACUGUAUAAAAGAAACCAGUAAAUACCCCUGGUAGUAGAGACCAUCUGCUUUGUUCACAUGUUAAUCCUUCAAGAUCUAAGUAGUGAGGGAAGACCUGUUCCCCUCUGUCUGUUAAUACAGAACAAUGUAUUGGUGAAAAUAAACACAUUAGAGUUGCUAGAAAUCGCUUUAAAUUCUGUGAAACAUAUUGUGUGGGAGGGAGUUUUUAUAUACAUGAUACGAUAUUUAGGGGUUACAUCAUAAUAAUAAUAAUAAUAAUAAUAAUAAUAAUAAUAAUAAUAAUACAGCAUUCAGUGCAUUAUAUUUAUUUGAAAGUAUUAUAUUAUGUGCAUUACUCUUGCAGAAAUAAUUCAAAUUCAAUCUAUUUGUCCAAGACUAAUUUUAAUUAAAAAAAGAUUGUUUUUCCAAGGGUAAUAGCAAUAAAAAAAAAUAAAAAAAAAACAUGUACAGUUUGUGAUCUGGUUUCAUGUCUUGUCAUACAAUAUUUUAUCCUGUUUGCUUUUAUGUAGGCCUACUGAACAAACCUAAAAAAAAAGUCUGACAGGUAACAGAGGUAAGCAUCCAAAACAAAAUAUUCUCUCACUAACAUUUCUUUCCAGCAUGUAUCAUUAUUAAUAUUAUUUAUGACACGUCUUGUAUUCAUUAGCCUGUCUUGUAGACAAACAGUGUGGGAAACUGUGAAGACCACAGUACAAUGUUCAGCAAGGACGAAUCCUGUGCAUCAAGGCUUUUUACACUAUAAACAAAAACCUGACGGUCGCCUGAGUGUCAGCCAGGCAAUGCUCUUGUUAACUCUUAAGUCUGUUUUGAUAUAUCCAGUAGGGAUUAUCAGUUUUCCUUUGUGUCCUGACCACAGCUGCUAAGACAUUCUGGAUAAAGCAGCUUCUGUAUUAGUCACUAAGUGAGUGCUGUCAGUUUAAUAUAAUUCAGCCGG